rnacentral:rRNA from 1 species
UACAGAGGGUGCAAGCGUUAAUCGGAGUUACUGGGCGUAAAGCGCACGUAGGCGGCUUUGUAAGUUAGAGGUGAAAGCCUGGAGCUCAACUCCAGAAUUGCCUUUAAGACUGCAUCGCUUGAAUCCAGGAGAGGUGAGUGGAAUUCCGAGUGUAGAGGUGAAAUUCGUAGAUAUUCGGAAGAACACCAGUGGCGAAGGCGGCUCACUGGACUGGUAUUGACGCUGAGGUGCGAAAGCGUGGGGAGCAAACAGG